rnacentral:rRNA from 1 species
AGCGAACGCUGGCGGCGGGCCUAACACAUGCAAGUCGAACGAACCCUUCGGGGUUAGUGGCGGACGGGUGAGUAACACGUGGGAACGUGCCUUUAGGUUCGGAAUAACUCAGGGAAACUUGUGCUAAUACCGAAUGUGCCCUUCGGGGGAAAGAUUUAUCGCCUUUAGAGCGGCCCGCGUCUGAUUAGCUAGUUGGUGAGGUAAAGGCUCACCAAGGCUACGAUCAGUAGCUGGUCUGAGAGGAUGACCAGCCACAUUGGGACUGAGACACGGCCCAAACUCCUACGGGAGGCAGCAGUGGGGAAUCUUGCGCAAUGGGCGAAAGCCUGACGCAGCCAUGCCGCGUGGAUGAUGAAGGUCUUAGGAUUGUAAAAUCCUUUCACCGGUGAAGAUAAUGACUGUAGCCGGAGAAGAAGCCCCGGCUAACUUCGUGCCAGCCGCCGCAGUAAGAC